UGUGCUCCAGGCUCCAUGGGGUCAGGGCUCCGGGCUGCCUGGUGGAGAAGCCCCGAGUCCCUGGGCUGAGAAUCGCUGAUCUGUUUCAGCUCGAGCUCCUUCACGGUGAAAGAUACAAGACCACCGGCUGGAGAACUUACAGGAGGAGAGCAGGGCCGUGCCUGAAAGGCUCGAUUCCCAUUACAGUCCAGCCUGUGACACGGACCAGCCUGAGUCUGAUGCCUGGUUCCUCACACGAGCGGCCUCGCUUUGGAAACACAAAGCGCACCUGCUCACCUCGCCCAGCGGCGCGUGCAGGCCGCUGCGCAGAGAACCGGGGCGCCCCGCUGCUGUCUUUUCGCCGCAGGGCCAGAGCCCAGCUCUGGGCUCCAUGCUGCCCCGACUCACUCGGUGGGAACGUGUGAUGCCUUGCAGAGGGGCUUAAGGAUGUGGCAAAGAAGAAAGAAGCAAAAGUAUUACCCAGAUCAUCCAGGGCUACUGCUCUGCUAAUGAAAAGGGAAGAGAAUAUUCUGGAAAGAAA